rnacentral:rRNA from 1 species
UACAGAGGUCUCAAGCGUUGUUCGGAUUCAUUGGGCGUAAAGGGUGCGUAGGUGGUGGGGUAAGUCGGAUGUGAAAUCCCGGGGCUCAACCCCGGAACUGCAUUCGAUACUGCCUUGCUCGAGUACUGGAGAGGAGACUGGAAUUUACGGUGUAGCAGUGAAAUGCGUAGAUAUCGUAAGGAAGACCAGUGGCGAAGGCGAGUCUCUGGACAGUUACUGACGCUGAGGCACGAAGGCCAGGGGAGCAAACGGG